UCAUCAAGGUCCUAAUGCCCUCUUGAUAAUCCCAUGUUUUAUCUAGGAAAGUCAGAGAUGAUUUCUGUAACUUGUGGCUGAAGGCAUCCAUUUAGGAUUUCCAGGCUCUGAUUAUUAUGAAAUGCUGAUGGCACUGCUAUUAGAAGUUGGGGACAAGGAGACUGAAUUGGAAGAGAAUUAGAAAAGAUGUUGAGCUGCGCUUGAGAUGCCACUUGAGCGACUCUCAAGGUGCUGGCGAGCAUCA
rnacentral:lncRNA from 1 species